AAAUUGAAGAGUUUGAUCAUGGCUCAGAUUGAACGCUGGCGGCAGGCCUAACACAUGCAAGUCGAACGGUAACAGGAAGCAGCUUGCUGCUUUGCUGACGAGUGGCGGACGGGUGAGUAAUGUCUGGGAAACUGCCUGAUGGAGGGGGAUAACUACUGGAAACGGUGGCUAAUACCGCAUAACGUCGCAAGACCAAAGAGGGGGACCUUCGGGCCUCUUGCCAUCAGAUGUGCCCAGAUGGGAUUAGCUUGUUGGUGAGGUAACGGCUCACCAAGGCGACGAUCCCUAGCUGGUCUGAGAGGAUGACCAGCCACACUGGAACUGAGACACGGUCCAGACUCCUACGGGAGGCAGCAGUGGGGAAUAUUGCACAAUGGGCGCAAGCCUGAUGCAGCCAUGCCGCGUGUAUGAAGAAGGCCUUCGGGUUGUAAAGUACUUUCAGCGGGGAGGAAGGUGUUGUGGUUAAUAACCACAGCAAUUGACGUUACCCGCAGAAGAAGCACCGGCUAACUCCGUGCCAGCAGCCGCGGUAAUACGGAGGGUGCAAGCGUUAAUCGGAAUUACUGGGCGUAAAGCGCACGCAGGCGGUCUGUCAAGUCGGAUGUGAAAUCCCCGGGCUCAACCUGGGAACUGCAUUCGAAACUGGCAGGCUUGAGUCUUGUAGAGGGGGGUAGAAUUCCAGGUGUAGCGGUGAAAUGCGUAGAGAUCUGGAGGAAUACCGGUGGCGAAGGCGGCCCCCUGGACAAAGACUGACGCUCAGGUGCGAAAGCGUGGGGAGCAAACAGGAUUAGAUACCCUGGUAGUCCACGCCGUAAACGAUGUCUACUUGGAGGUUGUGCCCUUGAGGCGUGGCUUCCGGAGCUAACGCGUUAAGUAGACCGCCUGGGGAGUACGGCCGCAAGGUUAAAACUCAAAUGAAUUGACGGGGGCCCGCACAAGCGGUGGAGCAUGUGGUUUAAUUCGAUGCAACGCGAAGAACCUUACCUGGUCUUGACAUCCACAGAACUUUCCAGAGAUGGAUUGGUGCCUUCGGGAACUGUGAGACAGGUGCUGCAUGGCUGUCGUCAGCUCGUGUUGUGAAAUGUUGGGUUAAGUCCCGCAACGAGCGCAACCCUUAUCCUUUGUUGCCAGCGGUUAGGCCGGGAACUCAAAGGAGACUGCCAGUGAUAAACUGGAGGAAGGUGGGGAUGACGUCAAGUCAUCAUGGCCCUUACGACCAGGGCUACACACGUGCUACAAUGGCGCAUACAAAGAGAAGCGACCUCGCGAGAGCAAGCGGACCUCAUAAAGUGCGUCGUAGUCCGGAUUGGAGUCUGCAACUCGACUCCAUGAAGUCGGAAUCGCUAGUAAUCGUGGAUCAGAAUGCCACGGUGAAUACGUUCCCGGGCCUUGUACACACCGCCCGUCACACCAUGGGAGUGGGUUGCAAAAGAAGUAGGUAGCUUAACCUUCGGGAGGGCGCUUACCACUUUGUGAUUCAUGACUGGGGUGAAGUCGUAACAAGGUAACCGUAGGGGAACCUGCGGUUGGAUCACCUCCUUA
rnacentral:rRNA from 7 species